CGCUUUUUUCGCCCAGGCGGAACUCGACCGUCGUUUGAAGUGAUCUGGCGUCUGAUCGACGAGCACCGACAGCGCUUUGGAGUCGAGCCACUGUGCCGCGUGUUGCAAGUGUCUCCA
rfam:Pseudomonas cichorii JBC1, complete genome.